AGUGAACGCUGGCGGUAGGCCUAACACAUGCAAGUCGAACGGCAGCACAGUAAAAGCUUGCUCUUACGGGUGGCGAGUGGCGGACGGGUGAGGAAUACAUCGGAAUCUACUUUUUCGUGGGGGAUAACGUAGGGAAACUUACGCUAAUACCGCAUACGACCUACGGGUGAAAGCAGGGGAUCUUCGGACCUUGAGCGAUUGAAUGAGCCGAUGUCGGAUUAGCUAGUUGGCGGGGUAAAGGCCCACCAAGGCGACGAUCCGUAGCUGGUCUGAGAGGAUGAUCAGCCACACUGGAACUGAGACACGGUCCAGACUCCUACGGGAGGCAGCAGUGGGGAAUAUUGGACAAUGGGCGCAAGCCUGAUCCAGCCAUACCGCGUGGGUGAAGAAGGCCUUCGGGUUGUAAAGCCAUUUUGUUGGGAAAGAAAAGCAGCAGGUUAAUACCCCGCUGUUCUGACGGUACCCAAAGAAUAAGCACCGGCUAACUUCGUG
rnacentral:rRNA from 1 species